ensembl:lincRNA
UUCACUCGCCCAAUAACUCACUCACCCACCCACCCUCCCAAACCACUCACUCACUCACUCACUCAUUCACAACAAAUAGAUCAUUCAAUCAUCUACUCACUUACUCAUACCAAUCACUCACUCGCUCUCAUUUACUCACUCAAUCAUUCUUUCAAUCACCCAAUAACUCAUUCACCCACCCAAAGCAACCACUCACUCACUCAAACAAAUCAUUCAAUCAUCUACACUGAAUCAAUCAUCUACUCACUCACCCAUUUACCCACUCAAUCAUUCACUUACCCACCCACCCCAACCAAUCACUCAUUUACUCAAACAAACCACUCUAUCAUCUACUCAUUUAAUCCUCUACUCACUCACUCACUCACUUAUCUACUCUCCCAAAAUAAAGAAAUCUCACUCACUCACUCUCUCACUCACUCCUUCACUCAAACAAAUCACUUAAUCAUCUACUCAUUCAAUUAUCUGCUCACUGACUCAUACCAAUCAAUCUCAUUUACUCACUCAUUCACUCACUCACCCACCCAAACCAACCUCUUAUCCACUCACUNNNNNNNNNNNNNNNNNNNNNNNNNNNNNNNNNNNNNNNNNNNNNNNNNNNNNNNNNNNNNNNNNNNNNNNNNNNNNNNNNNNNNNNNNNNNNNNNNNNNUUUACUCACUCAAUCAUUUACUCACUCACCCAAGGACUUACUCACCCACCCAAUCCAACCACUAAUUCACUCCCACAAAUCACUCACUCAUCUACUCGCUCACUCACUCACUCACUCACUCACUCACUCAAACAAACCACCCAAUCAUCUACUCACUCAUUCACUAACUCAAUCAAUCAUUUACUCAAUCAUCUACUCACUCAAUCAUUCACUCACCCAGUAAGUUUAACAACAGCUCUACUCACUAACUAAUUCAGCCAUACCAAUCACUCACUCACUCACUCACCCACACCAAUCCCUCAUUUACGCAAAUAACUCAAUCACCCAAAUAAAUCACUCACUCACUCACUCACUCACUCACUCAAUCAUCUACUCUUUCACACAUGCACUAAUUCAAUCAUCUACUCACUCACUCACCCAAAUCAAUCACUAACUUUACUCACUCAAUCACUUAUUUACUCACUCAAUAACUCAUCACCCACCUAAACCAAUUACUCAUUCAUUCACUCAAUCAUCUACUCACUCACUCACUCACUCACUCACUCACUCACUCACUCACUCACUCACAACAAAUAACCCAAUCAUCUACUCACUCAUUCAUUAGCUCAAUCAAUCAUUUACUCAAUCAUCUACUCACUCAAUCAUUCACUCACCCAGUAAGUUUAACAACAGCUCUACUCACUAAUUAAUUCAGCCAUACCAAUCACUCACUCACUCACUCACUCACCCACCCACACCAAUCACUCAUUUAUGCAAAUAACUCAAUCACCCAAAUAAAUCACUCACUCACUCACUCACUCACUCACUCACUCACUCACUCACUCUUUCACACAUGCACUAAUUCAGUCAUCUACUCACUCACUCACCCAAAUCAAUCACUAAUUUAACUCACUCAAUCACUUAUUUACUCACUCAAUAACUCUUAUUACCCACCUAAACCAAUUACUCAUUCAUUCACUCAAUCAUCUACUCACUCACUCACUCACUCACUCACUCACUCACUCACUCACUCCCUCACUCACUCGCUCACUCACUCAUUCAUUCAUUCAUUCAUUCAUUCAUUCAUUCAUUCAUUCACUCAUUCACUCAUUCAUUCAUUCAUUCAUUCAUUCAUUCAUUCAUUCACAAAGUGCAGGCAAAUCAACCACAAGCCAAAUCCAGGAACAUUUGAAGAAAAGCAUUGAGAUCAGUGCUGAAACAGAACAUCUCAGCAAUCAAAAACACUGAUAAUCACAAUCUGUAGACGCAUAAAUAAAUCUCUAAUAAUAAAUAUGAUACACGCUUCUGUAGGUAAAUCAGUGCAAAAGAGUAGAAGAUCAUUACAGAUGUCUGAAAAACACCAAAUAAACAGGGAAACCAGGUCCAGAAAUGAGAGAAGAUCCAACAGAAACAAAAGCAGACGGAGGUCAAAUGAAGAAGACACAGAAGAAGAGGGAUUUACAGACGAGGUUUCUCACAGCAGAACUCAACUCAUUUCCUGAAGACGCUGCCCGAUCUCCUCCAUCUGAUGCAAAGCAGGAGUUUCUCAGUCUGGAUGAAGAUCUGGACCACUGCUUAAAUCCUAAUGAAAGAUGCUGUCGUGGAAGAAAUCAGCACGCAGGGUUAUUCUGGAGGAGUUUAUUCUCAAUCAUCCCCUUUUGUGGAAGAAGAGACCAGCGUUCACCCAUAGAGAAGAUGCACUGCGGCAAAGCUUCUCUCAUUUAGAGUUUAUGUCCUGUUUCUAGUCCAAAUAUCUGAACAUUCUGAAAUCAAGAAGCAUUUUCUGGACAAGCAAUACAUCUAGUCUUGAUUAAGAAAUAAAGAGUAAAAAUUAAGUGAGUUUUUCAUUAAAACAAGCAAAAUAAUCUGACAAUGAGGGAAUAACUUAAUAAAUAAUCUUGUUUUUGCUUUGAAAUCUGGUUAUUUUAUCUACCCAAUGGUAGAUUAUUUACUUUAACUUGAAAAAUCUGAAAUAAUGCAUCAAAAUUAAAUGAAAAAAAAAGAUAAUUCUGUCAGUAUUAUACUCAUCAUUUCAAACCUUCUUUCUUCUACAGAACACAGAAGAAGAAUGUUAGAAGAAUGUUGGAAACCUGUAACCACUGACUUUCACAGCAUUUGUUUUUCCUUCUAUGAAAGUCAAAGGUUUUUAGCUGUUUUUGUAAAUUUCUUCCUUUAUUAAGUUAACCUAACAAAUUAAAGUGUAUUGAACAUAAAUCAGUUAAUUUGUCCCCUGAAUAUCUCAAAAAUUGAGUUGUUUCAGCUUAUUUUAAAUAGGUAGUUUGAACAAACAGCUCAGAUUGUUUGAGCAAACAGAAGAAACUUAUGUAAACAGUAAGUAAACUGUAUUUUUUUUGCGUGAACUAUCACUUUAAGUGAGUUUUGCCUUAAAACAAGCAAAAUAAUCUCCCAAUGGGGUGAGAAAAAUAAUAAAUAAUCUCGUUUUUGCUUUGAAAUCUGAUUAUUUUAUUUACCCCACUGGUAGGUUAUUUACCUAAACUUAAAAAAAUCUGAAAUAAUACAUCAAAAUUAAAGGGAUAGUCCAUCCAAAAAUGACAAUUCUGUCAUUAUUUACUCAUUUACUUGUUUUAAGCCUUUGAGUUUCUUUCUUCUGUUAAAGACAAAAUAAGAUAGUUUGAAGAAUGUUGUAAACCAAUAACCAUUGACUUCCAUAGCGUUUAUUAUUCCUUCAGUGAAAGUCAAUGGUGUUAACUUUUUUUCUUUAAAACAUCAAACUUCACAAAUUUAAGUGUUUACAACAAAACAAUUAAGUUGUCCACCAAAUAUGUCAAGGAUUGUGUUGUUCCAGCUCAUUUUAAUUAAGUAGUUUGAACAAACAGCAAUCAUUUCUUUGAGUGAACAGAAGAAACUCAUAGAGGUUUAAAACCACUAGAGGAGUGUAAACAGUGAGUAAAAUGACAUUUUUUUUGCGUGAACUACCCCUUUAAGUGAGUCUUGCCUUAAAACAAGCAAAAUAACCUCCCAAUGAGGUGAACAAAAUAAUAAAUAAUCUUGUUUUUCACUUGAAACCUGAUUAUUUUAUUUACUCACUGGUAGAUAAUUUACUUAAACGUGAAAAAUCUGAAAUAAUACAUCAAAAUUAACAUAUUAGUUCAUCCAAAAAUGACAAUUCUGUCAUAAUUUACUCACCAUUUACUUGUUUCAAACCCUUUUUAUUCUAUUAAACACAAAAGAAGAUAUUUUGAAGAAUGUUGGAAACCUGUAACCAGCAUUUGUUUUUCCUUCUACAGAAGUCAGUGGUUUUGUUUGCCCCAUUGGCAGAUUGUUUUGCUUGUUUUAAGGAAAAAAUUACUAAUAUUUUUUGUCAGACAAAGUUUCUAGUAACCAUUGACUUCCAUGGUAUUUGUUUUUCUGCUUCAUCUUCAUUAGUUUAACAACAGAAAGAAACCAACAGAGGUUAAAAAACCACUUGUGGCAGAGUAAACAGUGAGUAAAUUUACAUUUUUUCAUGAACUACCCCUUUAAAUGAGUUUUCCUUUAAAACAAGCUAAAUAAUCAGCCAAUAGGGUGAGCAGAAUAAUAGUUUUCCAUGUGAUAUGUGUUUGUGAUUGACAGGAUAAUUGACAGCUUUGGAUAUAAGCGUCUACUACAGUAAACGACUAAAUGUAGAUUAUUUUAAAGAAUGUUGGAAACCUGUAACCAUUGACUUCUAUAGUAUUUGUUGCUCCUACUCAGUGGUUACAGGUUUACAGGGUUGCCAGGUCCAUGUACCUCCAGCCCAAUGAUAACUCAAAACCUUCCCUUAAGGAAUGAAAAGCAGCCCAUUGUUAUUUUAUAACCACCUGAGAGAGAGUAAAUAGGGAGUACACAGGGAUACACUGAAAAAAAUGUUUCAUUGGAUUAACAAAAUAUUUUUAAAGGUAAGUGGCUGCAAAACAACUGAUAUGAGCUGAAUUUAAACAAACAUAUGAAGGUGAACAUUGCUAAAUUUCAUUUGUUUGUUUAAAUUCAGCCCAUAUGAGUUGUUUGCAACCUCUUACCUUCAAUGCAUGCAAAAUAAUCUAACUUUCAGAUUAAAUUUGUGUAUUUCUCUUACCCUAUUGGCAGAUUAUUUAACAUAUACUUAAUGAAAAACUCUCUUCAUUUGGACUCAUUAUUUCUGAAAGCAAGACUAUAUUUAGUGCUGGUCUAUAAAAUGUUCCUGAUUUGAGCAUUUUGAGUUGUUUGGACUGGAAACAGGAGUAAAGCUGUAAGUAAGAAGAGCCUGUUUUGCAGUGCAGGGUUGUGUUUCUCUGUGCUGCGGCUGCGAGAGGCGCUGUCAGACCUGCACCCCGCGGCCGUGCAUCUGGAUCACCUGCGCUCUCAGAGUCUGAAUGGCCGACAGGAUCUGCUUCUGGUGCUCCAGACAGGUGAUGCCCAGACUCAACACAUCCCUGAAACACACACACACACACACACAGAUGAAGAGCAUGCACACACACACACACACACACACACACACACACACACACACACACACACACACACACACACACUCUAGCUAUUUCCAAUCCAAAGAUGCACAUUUUUGUAAAAUAAAACAAAGCAAAAUAUUGGAGGUAUAUAGUUUUUUUUAUUGUAAAAUAUUGCAUAAAAAUAUUAUUUGAUCAAAUAUUUAUUACAAAACAUUCCAAACUAGUGCGGUAUAUGAAUAAUAAUAAUAAAAAAAAUUCUGUAUGAUAUUAAGAAACAGAGAAAGAACAACAAUAAUAUUUAACAACAGCAGUAAUAAUGUCCACAUUCUGGAUUGAAUUAGAAUUUUAGUAAAAUCAUCUUCUUUUUGUUCUUCUUUAUUAAUUUAUUUAUUCGUUAAUGAUAAUAAUAAUUAAAUAAAUUUUUUCAGUGACACUGCCUAAUUUCACCAAGUCAAAAAACAAUAUAUUAUUAUUAUUAUCUUCUUCAUCAUCAUCAUCAUUAUUAUCAUUAGUAGUAUUAGUUGUAUUAUUAUUAUUAUUAUUAUUAUUAUCAUUAUUAUUAAUAAUUUUAUUAUUAUUAUUAUAAUCAUCAUCAUUAUUAUUAAUUUUAUUAUUAUCAUUAAAAUUAUUAUUAUUAUUAUUACUAUUAUCAUCAUUAU